AACUCAGUGGUCUAAUGGUAAAGCUUUUGCCAUGGAUCCAGAGGGUCUUGGGUCCGACCCCCGAUGGGGUUA
rnacentral:tRNA from 1 species